rnacentral:rRNA from 1 species
CAUAUCAAUAAGCGGAGGAAAAGAAACCAACAGGGAUUGCCCCAGUAACGGCGAGUGAAGCGGCAACAGCUCAAAUUUGAAAUCUGGCCCCAGGCCCGAGUUGUAAUUUGUAGAGGAUGUUUCUGGCGAGGUGCCUUCCGAGUUCCCUGGAACGGGACGCCAUAGAGGGUGAGAGCCCCGUACGGUUGGUUGCCGAGCCUCUGUGAAACUCCUUCGACGAGUCGAGUAGUUUGGGAAUGCUGCUCUAAAUGGGAGGUAUACGUCUUCUAAAGCUAAAUAUAGGCCAGAGACCGAUAGCGCACAAGUAGAGUGAUCGAAAGAUGAAAAGCACUUUGAAAAGAGGGUUAAAAAGUACGUGAAAUUGUUGAAAGGGAAGCGCUCAUGACCAGACUUGGGCAGGUUAAUCAUCCGCCGUUCUCGGUGGUGCACUUUGCCUGUCCAGGCCAGCAUCAGUUUGCUCCGGGGGAUAAAGGCUUCGGGAAUGUGGCUCCCUCGGGAGUGUUAUAGCCCGCUGCGUAAUACCCUGGAGCGGACUGAGGUUCGCGCAUCUGCAAGGAUGCUGGCGUAAUGGUCAUCAGCGACCCGUCUUGAAACACGGACCAAGGAGUCGUCUUCGUAUGCGAGUGUUCGGGUGUCAAACCCCUACGCGUAAUGAAAGUGAACGUAGGAGAGAGCUUCGGCGCAUCUCCGACCGAUCCUGAUGUUCUCGGAUGGAUUUGAGUAAGAGCAUACGGGGCCGGACCCGAAAGAAGGUGAACUAUGCCUGUAUAGGGUGAAGCCAGAGGAAACUCUGGUGGAGGCUCGCAGCGGUUCUGACGUGCAAAUCGAUCGUCAAAUAUGGGCAUGGGGGGCGAAAGACUAAUCGAACCUUCUAGUAGCUGGUUUCCGCCGAAG